rnacentral:rRNA from 2 species
CAACUUUCAACAACGGAUCUCUAGGCUCUCGCAUCGAUGAAGAACGCAGCGAAAUGCGAUAAGUAAUGUGAAUUGCAGAAUUCAGUGAAUCAUCGAAUCUUUGAACGCACCUUGCGCCCCUUGGUAUUCCGAGGGGCAUGCCUGUUUGAGUGUCGUG